UACGUAGGGUGCGAGCGUUGUCCGGAAUUAUUGGGCGUAAAGGGCUCGUAGGCGGUUUGUCGCGUCGGGAGUGAAAACACCGGGCUUAACUCGGUGCUUGCUUUCGAUACGGGCAGACUAGAGGUAUGCAGGGGAGAACGAAUUCCUGGUGUAGCGGUGAAAUGCGCAGAUAUCAGGAGGAACACCGGUGGCGAAGGCGGUUCUCUGGGCAUUACCUGACGCUGAGGAGCGAAAGUGUGGGGAGCGAACAGG
rnacentral:rRNA from 1 species